AUUGAACGCUGGCGGCAGGCCUAACACAUGCAAGUCGAGCGGGAACUUCGGUUCUAGCGGCGGACGGGUGAGUAAUGCGUAGGAAGCUACCCGACAGAGGGGGAUACCAGUUGGAAACGACUGUUAAUACCGCAUAAUGUCUACGGACCAAAGUGUGGGACCUUCGGGCCACAUGCUGUCGGAUGCGCCUACGUGGGAUUAGCUAGUUGGUGAGGUAAUGGCUCACCAAGGCGUCGAUCCCUAGCUGGUUUGAGAGGAUGAUCAGCCACACUGGAACUGAGACACGGUCCAGACUCCUACGGGAGGCAGCAGUGGGGAAUAUUGGACAAUGGGCGCAAGCCUGAUCCAGCCAUGCCGCGUGUGUGAAGAAGGCCUUCGGGUUGUAAAGCACUUUAAGUUGGGAGGAAGGUCUGUAAGCUAAUAUCUUGCAGUCUUGACGUUACCAACAGAAUAAGCACCGGCUAACUCUGUGCCAGCCGCCGCGGUAACAC
rnacentral:rRNA from 1 species